GACCUGCGGAGGAUCAUUAC
rnacentral:rRNA from 1 species